UACGUAGGGUGCGAGCGUUAAUCGGAAUUACUGGGCGUAAAGCGUGCGCAGGCGGUUUUGUAAGCCGGAUGUGAAAUCCCCGGGCUUAACCUGGGAAUGGCAUUCGGGACUGCAAGGCUGGAGUGCGGCAGAGGAGACUGGAAUUCCUGGUGUAGCAGUGAAAUGCGUAGAUAUCAGGAGGAACACCGAUGGCGAAGGCAGGGCUCUGGGCUGACACUGACGCUCAUGCACGAAAGCGUGGGGAGCAAACAGG
rnacentral:rRNA from 1 species